rnacentral:rRNA from 1 species
GGAUGAACGCUAGCGGCAGGCUUAAUACAUGCAAGUCGAGGGGCAGCAUGACUGUAGCAAUACAGUUGAUGGCGACCGGCAAACGGGUGCGGAACACGUACGCAACCUACCCAAAACUGAGGAAUAGCCCGGGGAAACCCGGAUUAAUACCUCGUAACAUAAUUGAAUGGCAUCAUUUAAUUAUUAAAGCUCCGGUGGUUUUGGAUGGGCGUGCGCCUGAUUAGGUAGUUGGAGGGUAACGGCCUACCAAGCCAACGAUCAGUAACUGGUGUGAGAGCACGACCAGUCACACGGGCACUGAGACACGGGCCCGACUCCUACGGGGAGCAGCAGUAAGGAAUAUUGGUCAAUGGACGCAAGUCUGAACCAGCCAUGCCG